AGUGAACGCUGGCGGUAGGCCUAACACAUGCAAGUCGAACGACAGCACAGUAGAGCUUGCUCUUUCGCGUGGCCAGUGGCCGACUGGUUAGGAAUACAUCGGCAUCUACUUUUUCGUGGGGGAUCACGUAGGGAAACUUACGCUUAUACCGCAUACUACCUACCGGUGUAAUCAGGUGAUCUUCGGACCUUUUGCUAUUGAAUGAGCCGGUGUCGGAUUAGCUAGUUGGCGAGGUAAAGGCCCACCAAGGCGACGAUCCGUAGCUGGUCUGAGAGGAUGAUCAGCCACACUGGAACUGAGACACGGUCCAGACUCCUACGGGAGGCAGCAGUGGGGAAUAUUGGACAAUGGGCGCAAGCCUGAUGGAGCAAUACCGCGUGGGUGAAGAAGGCCUUCGGGUUGUAAAGCUCUGUUGUUAGGAAAGAAAAGAAGCAGAUGAAAACACGGAUGUUUUGACGGUACCCAAAGAAUAAGCAACGGCUAACUACGUG
rnacentral:rRNA from 1 species